rnacentral:rRNA from 1 species
UACGAAGGGUGCAAGCGUUAAUCGGAAUUACUGGGCGGAAAGCGCGAGUAGGUGGUUCAGUAAGUUGGAAGUGAAAUCCCCGGGCUCAACCUGGGAACUGCUUUCAAAACUGCUGAGCUAGAGUACGGUAGAGGGUGGUGGAAUUUCCUGUGUAGCGGUGAAAUGCGUAGAUAUAGGAAGGAACACCAGUGGCGAAGGCGACCACCUGGACUGAUACUGACACUGAGGUGCGAAAGCGUGGGGAGCAAACAGG